rnacentral:rRNA from 1 species
UUCGCAAUGCCCGAAAGGGUGACGAUGCGACGCCGCGUGAGCGAAGAAGGCCCUAGGGUUGUAAAGCUCUGUCGAGGGUUAUGAGAUAUAGAUGGGUUAAUACCCCAUUUAUUUGACAAAAGCCCAAAAGGAAGCCACGGCUAACUCUGUGCCAGCAGCCGCGGUAAUACAGAGGUGGCGAGCGUUGUUCGGUAUUAUUGGGCGUAAAGAGCACGUAGGUGGUUUUGUAAGUCAGGUGUGAAAGCCUUCUGUUCAAAGGAAGAACGGCAUCUGAAACUGCAGAUCUUGAGUGUAGGAGGGGAGAGUGGAACUUCUGGUGGAGCGGUGAAAUGCGUAGAUAUCAGAAGGAACGUCGGCGGCGAAAGCGACUCUCUGGCCUAUUACUGACACUGAGGUGCGAAAGUUAGGGGAGCAAACGGGAUUAGAUACCCCGGUAGUCCUAACCGUAAACGAUGGGCACUAAGUAGAGGGGUUUU